rnacentral:rRNA from 1 species
UACGUAGGGUGCAAGCGUUGUCCGGAUUUAUUGGGCGUAAAGAGCUCGUAGGCGGUUUGUCGCGUCGGAUGUGAAAACCCAGGGCUCAACCCUGGGCCUGCAUUCGAUACGGGCAGACUAGAGUAUGGCAGGGGAGACUGGAAUUCCUGGUGUAGCGGUGAAAUGCGCAGAUAUCAGGAGGAACACCGGUGGCGAAGGCGGGUCUCUGGGCCAAAACUGACGCUGAGGCGCGAAAGCGUGGGGAGCAAACAGG